GUGCUCGUUUCAGCAGCACAUAUACUAAAAUUGGAACAAUACAGAGAAGAUUAGCAUGGCUCCUGCGCAAGGAUGAUAUGCAAAUUCGUGAAGCAUUCCAUAUUUGU
rnacentral:snRNA from 1 species